rnacentral:lncRNA from 1 species
UAACCUGCAAGUCAGUUCCAAUGCUACACUAUGUACCAAAAUGAAAUUGAACUACUUCAGAUAAACACAACAUUAGAAUGUGUAAAUAUUGAGACAAGUCAAUCAAACUUCUUCAUUUAAUAUAAGAUGAUAAUUACAAUUUGUACAAAGAUAGAGCUAACUAUCAUUUACAAUGUGAAUCACUCUACAAAUAGAGCUAACCCCCAUUUACCCAUUUACAAUGUGAAUCACUCUACAAAUAGAGCUAACCCCCAUUUACAAUCUACAUCUUCGACAUAAUCAAGGCAGUGCCAANNNNNNNNNNNNNNNNNNNNNNNNNNNNNNAUUGUUUCAAACAAGCAUUUUAUCAAACAUCUGGAGUGCAUUAAAAAAAACUAUUUGCUUCUAUGUGAGUUGUAAGGUUAAAAUGUUAAAUACCAGAAAAUCAAAGUAUAAGGGACACAAAGAUUUAAAAAGGAAAAGUGAUGAAGAAGGAAGAAAAAGAAAUGAAAUGAAAUUACCUUUGUAAGUGAUGUAAAAGGAAGUUGACUAUGUUUGUUCUUCGCUGCAUCAAUUUUUGAUUUCAUGAAUUGAAGUUUGUUUGUUGUGUUUUGCAAUCAAUCAACAAGUAAACCCACACCGAAACGCUGUCGCGGGAAGAUGGGUGGAAACGGCGGACCUUGAUGUUAUCCACAAAACGCGUGACCAUAGAGAAGAAAGAAAGGAAAAACGAUAGAGGAAGAUGAACAGUACAUAUGAUGUGGAUCGAAGAAGAUGAAAGGGUGAAGGCUGGACAAGAGGAAGAUGAGUUUGUCGAUGUGUGCAUAGACAAUUGAAUCAAGAGGGUGUGAAACUGAAACAGAGGAGGUGGGAUUGAUGACUGAAUGAGAGAUGAACAUCGGCGGCGGUGGUAAGGCCUGAGAGAGAAAGAUUCGGCGAAGAAAGAAGAGAGAAGUUGGAGGGGUUUGUAAUUGAGUGAAAAUGACGCAUUGAAAAGUAUUUUAAUCUCAACCCUUCAUUUUAAUCUGAUGGUCUAUUAUUUAUUCUCAUAUUCUCAUAUAUCUUUAUCAUUCUCAUAAUAUACAUCCUCUAUAUAUAUAUAUAUA